GGGUGGAGAUUGGUCUGAGCAGAGUC
rnacentral:piRNA from 1 species